rnacentral:rRNA from 1 species
UGGGGAAUAUUGCACAAUGGGCGCAAGCCUGAUGCAGCCAUGCCGCGUGUGUGAAGAAGGCCUUCGGGUUGUAAAGCACUUUCAGCGAGGAGGAAGGUGGUGAGCUUAAUACGCUCAUCAAUUGACGUUACUCGCAGAAGAAGCACCGGCUAACUCCGUGCCAGCAGCCGCGGUAAUACGGAGGGUGCAAGCGUUAAUCGGAAUUACUGGGCGUAAAGCGCACGCAGGCGGUUUGUUAAGUCAGAUGUGAAAUCCCCGGGCUCAACCUGGGAACUGCAUUUGAAACUGGCAAGCUAGAGUCUCGUAGAGGGGGGUAGAAUUCCAGGUGUAGCGGUGAAAUGCGUAGAGAUCUGGAGGAAUACCGGUGGCGAAGGCGGCCCCCCUGGACGAAGACUGACGCUCAGGUGCGAAGCGUGGGAAGCAAAGCAGAUUAGAUAUCCCUGGUAGU